rnacentral:rRNA from 1 species
AUUGAACGCUGGCGGCAUGCCUUACACAUGCAAGUCGAACGGUAACAGGUCUUCGGAUGCUGACGAGUGGCGAACGGGUGAGUAAUACAUCGGAACGUGCCCGAUCGUGGGGGGAUAACGCAGCGAAAGCUGUGCUAAUACCGCAUACGAUCUACGGAUGAAAGCGGGGGAUCGCAAGACCUCGCGCGGACGGAGCGGCCGAUGGCAGAUUAGGUAGUUGGUGGGAUAAAAGCUUACCAAGCCGACGAUCUGUAGCUGGUCUGAGAGGACGACCAGCCACACUGGGACUGAGACACGGCCCAGACUCCUACGGGAGGCAGCAGUGGGGAAUUUUGGACAAUGGGCGCAAGCCUGAUCCAGCCAUGCCGCGUGCAGGAUGAAGGCCUC